rnacentral:lncRNA from 1 species
AACGUUGUUUGAAUUGUCUGGGUAAAGGCUAUGACUAAGUUGUAACUUAUGUUUCUUAAUUUUGUAACUUAAGUUUAUUUUAGUGCGUAUGAGAGCUUGCACAAUGUUGUUAAUACUUUCUUCGGAUUGAAUUAUUAUCAUUAUGUUCCUAUGAUAAUGUAGUAAGAACUAAGUUUUUGCUAUUGUAAAUUUUGGCUUACCAAAUUCAAGGUGGAACAUGUCAAUCUCUAUACAGUGUUUAGUGAAUGAAGUGUUGAUGUUGAUGUACUUCAAACUUCAAACUUUGCCGAUGAUUAAAGUCACUGAGUUUCUUCAAUAGCUACAAUAUAUAACUAGCCUAAAUCAUAGAAUGUAUGAGGAGCAGUAACCAGUUUCACUUGGGAUUUCCUCGUUUGAUCCGAUGCAAUUUUUUUUUUGGUAUCAGUUAACUCGCAUUGCUUAGUCCCCUUUCAAAUAUGGAUAUUCAGAAAGAGGGUUGUGAUUGUUGGUAAAUAGUUGAUGCAAUUAUCUUAGAUCCGCAUUCUUCUACCUAUUAGUAAUUGUUAUUUUUGUAGUAGUCUAUGUUGUAAUAAGGCACACUCACCUUUUUGUUGGCAGGAACAUAAGAAGUCAAUAAGUUUUAGGUCUAAUAGAAAGAAAUUCAAUUGAUGGAGGUGUUAGGACUUUCGGGGAGCCUACAACGAUGGGAUGGGUCAUCAUAUUAGACUAAAAACAACUAGAGUUUAGACGUCACAUUUCACUCAAAAUCUUAAUGUGUUAGGGGUAUAGUAUGUGCAUUUUUACUUAUAUGUUGCUCAACAUUUGUUCUAAUUCACACCUAACACAUCAGCAGGCCGAGCGACAAAUCAUUCAAUGUGUUUGGUUUUGUAUUAUUGAUAAAGAAAAGAACACCUUGGCCAAAGAAAAUCUAUCUUAUUAAGUUUUGGCUAAGGCCAAAAUUUCCAAGAAUAAUAUAGAAGAAAUAAGAAUGAAACUUACACUCACUUUUCUGAGUAUCAACAGAGGGGUUUGAGUUUCAGCCUUCAUGCAUAUUAAGGGGGAAAUUACAAUAAAUUUACAAGUGGAAAGUCUACAUAGAAACAUUGUGUACCGGUAGCUUAGACAUAAAUGUCUCAUUUGGAACCACCACCCCAACAAAAAAAUGACAUUGUCCAUUAAUACAUGCAACCCUGAAGUUUUAAAGUUGUGGUGAUAUCAUGUUGCUCACAUACAUGUAAGAGCUACCCACUCAUUUAGCCGGAGACAGAGCCACGUUGGUCACAUUGGGGGCACAUGCCUGCACUAAUAUUUAGAAGCAACUUUUUUUUAGUAGUACUAUACUAAAUCUAUUUGAUAUUGCACACCCAAGAGAAAUGAGAUAUAAGCUGCUCCAUUAAUCCACUUGCACUUUGGUUAGUUCUUACAUUUAUCUUAGAAUGUACUAAUUAAAACUAUAAACAUAUUUACAAAUAUUCUUUUUAUUAGUUAUUUUGAUCAUCAAAUCUGUUUUUAUUUAAUCAAUUUUGUCGUGGUUUUUAUUGAUCAGUUUAAUCAAUAAAAUUAGAAAUAAUAGGAACAUAAAACAUGUUUGCAUUUUUUAUACAUUUAGAAUUUAUAGUGGCAAUGUCUCUCACAUUUAGAGACUAAAAUGAUUGUUUGAAAAAAGAAACAAACCUAGCACGUGAAUUGAUAUUACUUCCUCCAUUUUUAAAUAUAAACAAAGUUUAAAAUAUAUUUGAUCUAAAUAUAAGUCGAAUAAAUUUUGAUUGUUGCAUAUUUAAAAUAUACAUGAUGUAUUGACUCAUAUUAUGGAUCAAAUACAUCAAUUUGUGUUGAUUCGAUUGUCUCUUAUAAAAAGAACCAAAGAUAAUAUACAAAUUUAUAUAUAUAUGCCCCCUCCCUCUAUUCAAAAUUUAUGGCUCCGUCACUAUAUUAAGCAUUCCAUUUAGAGAAAUUUUUUAUUCAAAAAGUUAAACACUACAAUUUCUAAUGCGUUGACUUUAAAUAUUUCUAUAAAAAUUCUAUAAAAACUUACUAUUAAAGUGGCUUAAAGAGUGUCCCGGAGGUACUUGUUAGCAUUUUUUUUAUAAUCAUACCCUUAUAGAAAAAGAAAUAGAAUUUUUUUUUUGGUACAAAAAGAAAAUAGAAGCACAAUAUAAUUAGGAAAGAGAUUUGCGCGCCCUCGAAAUUCCUCACGAACCCCCUAACAUUAUCAAACUAACUCUCGCUUUCUAGAAUGCGAGAAAUUUCCGCACUCUAAUGGCGAGUGACAAUAUUUUUAACUCAAACCCAACAUUUGUGCCCCUUAGAUAAAAAAAAAUCAUAAAAAAAAAGUUUGCAUUCUAAAAGCGAACUCAGUUUGCAGUUGACUAAUUAACUUAAGAAGCUUUUCUUAAGUCUGGUUGUUGACCACCCACGCUAACAAAUUUUAACUUUAAAUUAUUUUUAAAUCGUUUAGUUGAUACCCAAUACCCAACUUAAGACUUUGUUUGGUAGGAGAGAAAAAGAUAAGAGAGAAAUAAAAUCACAGAAACCAAUGUAAGUCAAAAUACUACAUGCAUUGGUUUCGGUGUUUUUAUUUCUAUGGGAGUACCAAAAACACUCUAAAGACUUUUUGUAUUAUUUAUUUAUGAAAAAUAAUUUACCUUUGUAACCAGAAAAACAAAAAUCAAAUUUACUGUGUGUGUUUGGUUUAACGGUAAAAAGAAUUGAUUAUGGCAGAAUUAAGUUUGAUAGAAUUGAUUUUGAUAAAAGUGAAUUGAGUGUUAAUUGAUUUGUGUUUGGAUACAUUAACUUGAAAGUGAUUCUCAACAUUUGGUGUUGUUUGGAUAAUUUAAAUUAAAAGUACAUUUAAAUGUGAAAUUACCAAGUUGUCCAUCUCUCUCAUCAAUUCGGUAAAAAUAAUAUCUCCCUCAAAAAUUAAACAAGAAUUCUCUAGAACCCCUCAUUUAAUUAAGGACUAAACUUAUAUACAGUUCAAUAUACACAAUUUUUACUAUGCCAGAUACAUGGGGAAGUUAUUUUUAUUUAAAAACAAUUUUCUUUUUCUUUUUUUAAUUAAAAAAUAUAAAUAACUACCUUUUUGUGAAAGGGACAGAAAAAACUGCAUCUAAGGAAAUGCAUAUAAGUUUUAUCCUUUAAUUAAUUAUAAAAAAUAUAUAAAAAGGUAGUUAAAGUCAUUUCAUGAAGAAUGAAGAAUACUCUAGACCCUUAACUAUUCAAUGGUUGUUGUCUUGCAAACCGUCAGUUCAUCUCUAACGCUCGCCAUCCAUGGUUGCCCCUCUCAAGUUGUUUAAUUUCAUGGAUGACAUAAUACUUUGUUGAUUCUUCCCUUAAAUUCAGAUUUUAGUUUGUCAAAUUUUUUUUUUUAAAUUUUUCAUCUGUGUUCUCNNNNNNNNNNNNNNNNNNNNNNNNNNNNNNNNNNNNNNNNNNNACAUAAGGAGAAACUGUUCCGGAGAACAAAAAAAUUUGAGGCUUGAAGAAAAAAAAAAUUGGAUCUUGAGUUGAAGCAUGGGUAAUUAGGUAAAUAUAUAUGUCAGCAAAAAACCAAACUCCAGAAUUGCUUUUAGUUAACACAUAAGCUACAAUUUGUGACUUCCAUUAAACUCACGUUUUGACGGUGGAAGCACGUUUCAUAAUUUGCUUUUGAUUGUACAUCAUAGAAAAUGGCAAAGUUGCUUUUGGAAGUUCAAACUCACGUUUGGAAAGCGGAAACGCUCAACCAAACACAUACAAUCUAUCUGAAAACCAUGGUAGUCAAUCCCGGGCGAUCCCGGUGGAGCAGAGCGGAGCGGAGCUCUGCCGGGACAGGAUGGGAUGGAGCGGCGCAGCUAAGCUUCUCGGUGGGAUCCCAGUGGACCGGAGCGGAGCGGGUCCCGGGUUGCCAUCCCGGGUUAGGGCUGANNNNNNNNNNNNNNNNNNNNNNNNNNNNNNNNNNNNNNNNNNNNNNNNNNNNNNNNNNNNNNNNNNNNNNNNNNNNNNNNNNNNNNNNNNNNNNNNNNNNNNNNNNNNNNNNNNNNNNNNNNNNNNNNNNNNNNNNNNNNNNNNNNNNNNNNNNNNNNNNNNNNNNNNNNNNNNNNNNNNNNNNNNNNNNNNNNNNNNNNNNNNNNNNNNNNNNNNNNNNNNNNNNNNNNNNNNNNNNNNNNNNNNNNNNNNNNNNCAAUCUCACUAAAAUCUCACUCUCUUAUUGCAAGAACAAAGAGGAUCAAGAACAAUAGCAGCAAAAUUAGACUGAUUCGUGAUGACAGCGGCGGGACGGUGAGGUUCGCUCAUGACAUCAACGACGGUGAACUGGCGGUGAGGAGAUGCAUAGAAAAUAUAUUAGUAAUUGUUUCAUCAAACGACCGCUAUAUACUUCAUACCUUCCUUCUCUUUUGAAAAAUACUUCAUUUCUCAUUUCAAGGGAAAAAGGGAUAAGGAACCAAUUGAGCUGCUGAUAGAACCUUGCGCCAUCAAUAGCUUCGAUAUUGAUCAACAUAAUACAUUGGUAAGUGGAGGCAGCUAUUAUUGUUUCUAUUCUAUAGGACUCAUUUGAUGGUGUUUUCUUAUAGUUUAUUUUGGCAGUAGUUGUCCAAAAAGAAUGUGUUUUUGGUUUCAGGUUUGUUUUUUUUAAUGAUUGUGUUGUAAUGUGUUUUUAUUAGAAUAGUUAUUGUUAUUCAACAUGUCUUUGUUGGAUUUGCAUUUGCGAAGGAGCAGCAGCAGCGGCGGCGCCACCUCCAUCUCUGCUAUCGCAUCAACCAACUCUGAUCUUCUCUUUUCACAAACUUUUCUUUUCAAUUUCGGUAACCAAUCAAAUCCCUAAUUUCUCUCCCCUUUUCGAUUGCUUCUUCGUUCUCCUUCACCCCCAAGCUCUAAUCUUCAUGGAUCGGAUUUUCUUCAUGCUCUGUGGUGUUUAUUGUUAUUUGGGAUGAACAUGAUGAACUUUUUCUUCUGCUUUAAAUGGGUUUUUUUUGUUUGUUUGUGCUUUUUGGUUUUAUAUACCUAAUUUUGUUGUUUUGAGUUUUUUUUUUGUUAUUAUGAUUUUGAUUAAGCAUAGAUAUAUACUUAAAGUUGAAAUUUUUAUUGCUGAUUAUUGUGUUGAUGAACUGUUUCUGAAUUUAAUUGUUCUGCUUUUGUUGCUCUUAUGUUUAGGUUCAUGUGAGAGAUCAAAUUUCAAGUCUUUUGUUUUGGGUGAAUUUGUUUUGUUAAGCUUGUCUCAUGAUUUGUUUUGUUUUGGGUUCAUUUCAAAGAUAAUAUCAAUUUGAGAAUUUGUAAUUCAAGCUGUGUUAUUACAUCAAUUAGUUGUUAUUCAAUUAUAUUUUUGGUUGAAUUGGCUAUGUAUCAUGGAGCAGUAAUUUGCAAUUUCUGCUAUUUACUUUAUAGUAUUAGUUGUUAAUACUUUGCAUAAGUGCUGAUAUAUUACAACAUUGUUGAGGAACAUGUCCACUUUACAUAUUACAUAGUGGGGUUGUGGAGCUGAAUUUUGUUAAACAAUUGAAUAAGUUCUUCUUUAUUUCUGCAAUUAACCUUGCUUGAAAAUGCUACAAAAGCUUAAGCUUUUGGGAGUAUUGAUUAUUGGUAGAUAUAUUUGUUCGUAAUAUCUGGUGCAUAUAUCUUAAAGGUAUUGUCUGCUUGACCAAAUAUGUUUCUCAGAAACUUUUUUUUCGAUAGGCAUAUUUAUAAAAAAAAAAACUAAAGCCUCAUGGAGUUAUCUUAAUGAUUUACAUUGAGUUUUCAGAAUGAAUUUUGUUUGAUAGUUAUUUAUGUUGAGUGAUCACGGCUAAUGUAAAAUUUUGUUGAAUCUUCAUGACAUGUCAUCAAUAUUUGCUUAAAGACUCCCGAAGACAAAGGAAUGUCAACCUAAGACUAAUAAUAUAAGCCGAUUUUAAUUUAUUUUAAUUUAUUUUUAUUUUUCUCAAAAUUAUGUGAUGAUUUUAUUUUUUUUGAUAAUGCUAUGUGAUGAUUUUAUAUUUCUAUUUUAUUUUUAUUUAUGUAUAAUAACCAAAUUCGAACACAACAGAACACAGCACACUAUACGGUUGUGGACUGUGUUGUUGAUUAUGCGAUGUUGUCUCUCACUCCAAUCGCCAACACCUUCUCAUUCUCAUCCAUCAUCUGCAAAUGCAAAGCAUCCCUUGACAUUCACAGCGAUGCCCUCGACGCUGGAUAUAUCCGACGCGCCGCCCGCCUUGCAGACAAAUCCGCCGGAUUCACUUCCCCUCAUCCCAACUUCGGUUGCGUCAUCGCUACUCCAUCCGGCAAUGUCGCUGGAGAAGGCUACCUCUACGCGCAAGGUACCAGUGCCGCCGAAGUUCAGGCUAUUACCUCUGCCGGAGAACUCUCCCGUGGUGCAACCGCUUAUUUAAACAUGGAACCCGGUGACUGUGAUGGUGACAGCACUGCUGUGUCUGCUCUGCUUCAGGUUUAUUCCUAUUCAUCUUUGUUUUUUUUUCUUCCAAAUUCGUGUAUGUGAAUGACAACGUUGUUGUUUGUUACAAACAAGUAGUACAAUGUUGUUUGGGGUGUGUGUUUGUUAACUUUAAUUUGUGUUUGUAGUUGAUAAAUGAUCCUAUCUGUGAAACCAAACUAGGGUGGGGUCAAAAGGGUUGUCAUUGGAAUGAGACAUCCUUUGCAACAUUUUAGAGGCAAUGCUGUGCGUGCACUCAGAAGUCAAGGAUUGCAAGUUGAUCUUCUUGGAGAGGAUCUCACUAGUAAGCUUAUAGAGGUGCGUAUUAAUGUGUUUUACUUUUGGGUUUUUUGAUUGAAGAAGAAAAAACAUAACUUGACAAUGAAUUGUGGUUUUGUUGAAAUCAAAAGUUGUAGUUUUUUUUUAAAGGGAACUUAUUUGGAUCAGUUUUGUCAAUUGCAAAAUAGUGGUUUUGUACAAAUACAAAUUCCACUAUGCAUUAAUGCUGUAAGACACUAUUUGACAACACUUUGUUCUUUGUAUUUAAUUGUGUAUCACCGAACAAUAGUAGUUUGUUAAAGUUUUGCUACAUAUAGCCGCUAUUUGACAACAUUGAUUUGGGUUGGUUGAUUCAUUUCUAACUUUGGCUAAUGCUAGUAAGUGGUGUGAGGGCCAAUAAAAAUACGGAAAUAGCAUUCAAGUUGCUUUGAAAUCGAGGGGAGAUUGGUGCAAUUUUCUCAACAAAUAAGAGUGAUGAUGCUAUGUAAGCAUACCUUAGGGGAUAUGAGUGCUACUUCUCCAAUCAGAAUUACAAGUUUUUUUUUUGGUUGAAAAAUGUAGCUUUUUAUUGUGUUGAAAGAUGUGCUUUUUAGUGAAACUUAUUGAUCAGUUCUUUAUGUACCGUGGCUUUUGAGACCUAUAGCUUUUUAUGCACACAUAUGGACUGCUAUGUUCUGUUUUAUUUACAGGAUGCCCAAAAAGAAUGUCUUCUUGUUAACGCUCCUUUGAUUUGUAGAGCUUCUUCGCGUGUUCCCUUUUCUGUUCUCAAGUAUGCUAUGACCCUUGAUGGUAAGGAUUCUGUUCAAUUUCAUGUUAUUGUCUUUUCUUGCAUGAGUUUUAGAGUCUUGUAAUAAUAACCUUCCUUUUGGUGCAACAGGAAAGAUUGCUGCUAGCACCGGUCAUGCAUGGUGGAUAAGUUGCAAGAAAUCUAGAAGUCUAGUUUUUGAGCUGCGAGCUAGAAGCGAUGCAAUAAUUGUAGGAGGAAAUACAGUUCGAAGGGACAGUGAGUAUCGUCGUUAUCAUUAGAUAAAUGUCUCAAACUUUGAUUUUUAAUACCUUCCUUCCUAAAUUCAAUCAGAUCCGAGACUGACAGCGAGACAUGGAGGCGGUCAUAUGCCAAUGCGCAUUGUAAUGUCUCAGUCCCUCGAUCUUCCUGAGGAAGCAAACUUAUGGGACAUGUCCGAGGUUUCUACCAUAGUUGUAACACAAAGGGGUGCGAGAAAGAGUUUCCAGAAGCUACUUGCAUCUAAAGGAGUUGAAGUUGUGGAGUUUGACAUAUUAAAUCCCCGAGAUGUUAUGGAGUAUUUUCACGAUCGAGGAUAUCUUUCAGUUUUCUGGGAAUGCGGAGGAACAUUGGCUGCAUCUGCUAUUUCGUCUGGAGUAAUUCACAAGGUUUCAUUUAUCUUUUUCUUUUUCAUUUUCCAUGGGAGAAAUUUAAAUAAAGCUCCAUUUGUUAUUGGCUGAUGAGAGGUUUCCCUCACAAAAUGUUUCGUUUGUUUGGUUGGUUAUACUAAUUAUAGGAGACAAAUUCUAUUUAGAUUGAGUUUUUCUUAGUUGGCUUUAUCUUUUUAUUUUAUUUUAUCAAUAUGUUAGGAUAAUGGUGAAAUUUAUGUCCAUCAGGUUUAUGCAUUUGUUGCUCCUAAAAUUAUUGGUGGAAAGAAUGCACCAUCUCCUGUGGGUGAUCUUGGGAUGGUUGAGAUGUCACAGGCUAUAAAUCUAAUUGAUGUUUGCUAUCAGCAGGUUAGUUCAAACUUAUUUGCUUUUCCCUUCGAAGUUCGAAGUUCGAAGUACUGGUAUUGUUUUAAGUAUAUGUUUAAUAUAUAUAUAUAUAUAUAUUUACAGUUGAAUCGAUCACUGUAAUGCAGGUUGGGCCUGACAUGCUUGUUAGCGGAUUUCUUCAGCCGUUACCAGANNNNNNNNNNNNNNNNNNNNNNNNNNNNNNNNNNNNNNNNNNNNNNNNNNNNNNNNNNNNNNNNNNNNNNNNNNNNNNNNNNNNNNNNNNNNNNNNNNNNNNNNAUAACCGACUACCAACUCAAUUUAAUUAAAAGGGUUUUCUAUACUAAAACCAUAAAUUGAAUUUUUAUACUCAUAUAUACCAUAAUUGAUGAUUCAUAUAUGCAUCUGCUUUCGAUGAUUUAUAACCUAUAUGUGAUUCCUAAACUCAAUUCAGACACCAUGGGAAUGAAAACGCAAAGGUAAUGUUGGGGGAGAAUAACAACAAAUCAAAAAAAAAAUAUCGGGCUUAGGCUCUCAUGUUUAAAAAAAAAAUUGAUUUUUUUUUGGUAGAACAAUAAAUCAAAUUUUUAUGCAACCUAAAAAUAAGGAAUAUCCUAAAUAGAUAUGCACAUGAGUUAAUAUAGGAAACUAUUAUUAGCCUUUGAUUAAAAAACAUAGACGGUUGAGAUUUGGUGUCAAAUUAAAGUUUGACACCUGGUGUCAAUGAAUCCUAACUCAUAUAUAUAUAUAUAUUUACAGUUGAAUUGAUCACUGUAAUGCAGGUUGGGCCUGACAUGCUUGUUAGCGGAUUUCUUCAGCCGUUACCAGACAUGGCUCCUACAAUUCCAUCACGAGAGGAAACUUUUGUUGUUGACCCUACUGUCUCACCAUAUGAAUCCAGCAUCAUAUUUUUCUAUAAAACUUGGGAUCCUUAUGGUGCAUUGUCAAAUUUCUCUCCUCAUCCCAUUCAAAUGCCUGAUGAAAAUGGCGAUAAUGUGACUUGGUCAAGUGUGGAGCAUUACUACCAGGUACUUUUUUUCUUUUUGUAUAGAUUCUAUUUUCCUUUGCAGUAUUAUUGUAUUGCUUAUAAAUUAAAUUUGUUGACUAGGCGCACAAGUUUGUUGGAGUGGAUGAUACUUCUGCACAGGAUUGUUUGGAAAGGAUCAAAUCUGCAAAAAGCCCAGAGGAAGCUGCAAGAAUAGGAAGGUCAAUGCAAAGACAGCGUCCGGAUCUGGUAUGAUCCCCCAAGUGGUUUUCAAUCUUUAAGACUCUGUUUGGUAAAACAUAGCGGAUAAGCUAGCUGAUAGUAGACAAGUUAUCUGAUUGAAUUUGAGUUUAGUAAAAUUAGAGGUUAAUUUGCUGAUAAAUAUAAAAUGAUAAAAAAGUAUAUAUGUUCAAUUAAUAUUUAAACUUUUUCAAUUAAGAUAAUGAGGGUAAAAGUUAGAGAAAAUAAGAUAUUCUGUUAUGAGGGUAAAAGUUAGAGAAAAUAUGAUAUUCUGUUAUAAGUUAUAAGCUCCAACGCUUAUAAACUUGUGAAAAAGCGCAAUAAGUUUGCAAACGAAUGAUACAAGCUUAUGCGCAAUAAGCUAUCCUCUACUGGCUCUAAGACUUGAUUGGUUCUUGUCAUUGCAUAUGCUAUCUUAAACCUUCAAAACACGUGUUAAAAUGUGUUAGAUUGGCUUUUAUUUUCUUCUUCCGAUUUCCUGUGUUUUAGAUGUUUGAAACUUUAUAUUUUAUGGGGGCUGCAGAUAAGGCCCGAGUGGGACAACAUGAAGAUCGAUGUGAUGUACUCGGCACUGAAAUGCAAGUUCUCAACGUAUCCACAUUUGAGUUCUAUGCUGGUUUCAACUGCUGGUUCUGUUCUAGUUGAGGCUUCUCCGCAUGAUCUCUUUUGGGGUGGAGGUCGAGAAGGUGAAGGCUUGAAUUAUCUUGGACGACUGUUGAUGAAAUUGAGGUCAGAGUUUAUUGAGGAAUCUUCGUCGUCAAGUGAGUCCUCUAGUUUAGCUGUAUAGUAUUUUUAAACAGAGAAGAAAAACAAUAUUUUUGAUGUAGAAUUACCAAAAUUACUUGUUGUACAACACAUGCCAUAAUAAAACACAGUAGAUUGUUUAGGAAUCAAAGUUUUGAAUGUAUUUAUACAUUUUUCCAAUAAAUAUUUCUCAUUUGUUAAUUUCUUAAUAAGUGUUUUAAGGAUCCUAGUUAAGAGGACUGUAAAAAAUAGCUUUGCUUCUUAAACUCACGCUUUAUUUGGUUGAACUCUGGUAAAUUUUACCCAAUAAAAGAGUGUAUUAAAUUUUUUUUAUGUUUGUAUAUUCGGCAUUAUGAAGAAGUCUCAAUAUACACGCGAGUGUGAUGGGUAAAAUUGAGUAAAACAUGGCUGGUUAAGCUUUUAGUACACGAUGAACUGCCAGAGUUGCAAAUUUCACCUUACACCUGAGGAAUGGUAUUGGUUGGUGGCGAAGGCUCUGCAAAUGACUUACAGAACUGAUCCAGACAGUUUGAGUGACGAUAGCUAGUGUUGCACAUGUAUGGGCAGCAUCCCUUCUCGUNNNNNNNNNNGGGUGCUCCAUGCAGACUGGACACCUAGCUUCUUCCCAUUCUUUUAUAUUUUCUUCGGACUCUUUAGGAGUUUUAGAAUUAGAUCUUCUGACUUAGAUCUUCUGACGUGGCUAGAACUACUUGGAUAAGGUGAUGUUCUGCUACUAUCAUGCGACAAAGACCUAUCUUUUCUCUUCAACUUUAAUUCUCCAUGAAGAAGAUAAGUAUUUCCUAGCUGUCCUACAGCCAACAAACUCAUCGGCUUCAAGUCCACAGCUUUGGAGAGUAAGUUUGCAGACCUGUAUAACAUGAUUUCAGCUUGUUUGCCAUCAUAAAUACCCUUUACAAACUCUUUUGAUUGUUUUAGAAGUUCCAUUACUAUCCCUCUUGCCAAGAGAAGACCUGAAAGUUUCAUGGUCUUGAUCGAGCAAUUGCUCACGCAAAAAGGAAGUCUCGCUCUCCACGCGUUUCAUUCUGACUUUAAACCUUUCAGAACAUUUGUGUUGUGGUUGAAUGUGUCUAUACCUUGUGAUUUAGUAGGAAGUGUGGUUGGGGUUGCGGUGUGGCGGUCAAGUCACUAUAUAUUGGUAGAGUUGGCAAUUGCAACAAAUUUCAUUUACUACUACCAAUAUGACAUUCCUUGCUGUGUUAUUGGGAUCACUGGUAAUGAAGAUAGCAGAAUGCAGAGCAACUCGUGGUCGUGGGUAUGAGAAACUUGAGUACCGUGCCAUUAUUUGCAAAAAACGCAUUGUAGUUUUGACUGAUUUUGGUGUUGUUGAUGAUGGUAAAACAUCAAGCACUAAAGUUUUUCCAUAUGCAAUAAAAAAUCUCAGCCAGUAUGCUUAUGAUAGUGGAGCUUUACUUGUGGUGACACAUGGGAAAUGGCUAAUUGAAAUCUUUAAUCUUACUAGUCAUUUCACUAUUUUCCUCCAAAAUGAAGUUGUCAUUCUUGCAUCUCAAGAUGAGUUAGAGUGGGCCUCACUUCAUGUCUUAGCAUCAUAUGGAAGAGGAAGGGAUGCACAUGAAAGGUUAAAUAGUCUCAUUUUUGGAACUAACCUCUCACAGCUGUUGUUAGUACUGGUUACGAUGGUCCAUUUGAUGGGCAUGGCUCUUAUUGGUGGAACAAUCUUCACAUGGAUGAAUGAAUUGAAACUCAAUAAGGCAUACUUGAUUGAGCUUACAUCCUUUAAUCACAUCCAAUCAUCAAUUCUCACUUUGAUUAACUCACCAUCUUGGUUAGUCUAUCCAAUUUAUACCAAUGACAUUAUAAUUCAAGGACUAAUCAUUUUUGCAGCAAUUUAUUCUCCCAACACAUAUGGAAUAUAUCCAUAUUCUUGUACGAUUAUUAGGACUCGAGAUUGUCAAACAGUAUCUAGUAGUGAUUGUGUUGCAAUUAAAAGUGGUUGUCGUGAGUAUGGAACCAAGUUUGGAAUGACAAGCCAACAUAUUAUAAUUAGAAGGCUCAAAUAUGUAUACCCUGACAAUGUUGUUAAUACUUUCUUCGGAUUGAAUUAUUAUUUUAUGUGCCUAUGAUAAUGUAGUAAGAACUAAGUUUCUGCUAUUGUAAAUUUUGGCUUACCAAAUUCAUGGUGGAACAUGUCAAUCUCUAUUAAUUGGGCUAGUACAUUGUUUAGUGAAUAAAGUGUUGAUGCUGAUGUACUUCAAACUUCAAACUUUGCUGAUGAUUAAAGUCACUGAGUUUCUUCAAUAGCUUCAAAAUAUAACUAGCCUAAAUCAUAGAAUGUAUGAGGAGCAGU